rnacentral:rRNA from 1 species
UGGGGAAUUUUGCGCAAUGGGCGAAAGCCUGACGCAGCGACGCCGCGUGUGCGAUGAAGGCCCUUGGGUCGUAAAGCACUGUCAACUGGGACGAAAGCUUCGUCAUUAAUACCGGCGAAGUUUGACGGUACCAGUAAAGGAAGCACCGGCUAACUCUGUGCCAGCAGCCGCGGUAAUACAGAGGGUGCAAACGUUGUUCGGAAUUACUGGGCGUAAAGCGCGUGUAGGCGGUUUGUUAGGUCGACUGUGAAAGCCCAUGGCUCAACCAUGGAAGUGCAGUCGAUACUGGCAGACUGGAGUCCCGGAGAGGGUGGUGGAAUUCCCAGUGUAGAGGUGAAAUUCGUAGAUAUUGGGAGGAACACCGGUGGCGAAGGCGACCACCUGGACGGGUACUGACGCUGAGACGCGAAAGCGUGGGGAGCAAACAGGAUUAGAUACCCCCGUAGUCC